rnacentral:rRNA from 1 species
GUAGGUGGCGAGCGUUGUCCGGAUUUACUGGGCGUAAAGCGCGUGCAGGCGGUCCGCUAAGUCUGGGGUGAAGUCUCCCGGCCCAACUGGGAGGCGUUCUCAGAUACUGGCGGACUUGAGGAGGGCAGAGGAGAGUGGAAUUCUCGGUGUAGUGGUGACAUGCGUAGAUAUCGAGAGGAACACCAGUGGCGAAGGCGGCUCUCUGGGCCCUAUCUGACGCUAAGGCGCGAAAGCGUGGGGGGAGCGAACCGGAUUAGAUACCCGGGUAGUCCACGCCGUAAACGAUGGACACUAGGUGUGGGGGGGUAUCGACCCCCCCCGUCUGUGCCGAAGCUAACGCAAUAAGUGUCCCGCCUGGGGAUACGGCCGCAAGGCUA